rnacentral:rRNA from 1 species
UACAGAGGUCUCAAGCGUUGUUCGGAUUCAUUGGGCGUAAAGGGUGCGUAGGCGGCGUGGUAAGUCGGGUGUGAAAUCUCGGAGCUUAACUCCGAAACUGCAUUCGAUACUGCCGUGCUUGAGGACUGGAGAGGAGACUGGAAUUUACGGUGUAGCGGUGAAAUGCGUAGAUAUCGUAAGGAAGACCAGUGGCGAAGGCGGGUCUCUGGACAGUUCCUGACGCUGAGGCACGAAGGCCAGGGGAGCAAACGGG